AGAAAAGAAAAAGGAAACUGCAACGAUGAACAGAUCAGAAUAGGCGACAUGCACUGAACAAGGUAAAAAAGACAGAAAAUUAUCUGGAGAGGUGGCCGGAGGACACAUCAAGAAGCGCCUUGUACAUUGAAUCAGGCAACAUCUCAUCCUAUAAAAUAAAAUGGGUUUUCCGAUGAGCUGAGAAGACGAGCCUGGCUUUAUAGGCAGAAAAGGGCUGAAGAAAACAGAAACAGAGAACAAAAAGCAGAUGCUUUGUUUCAAGGAUCCGGUUUUGUUCAGGUGUUCACACGAAUCAUGAGAUUCACAGGAAUGGGAAGCCGAACUCAUUCCCAGCUCCAGAAGUGGAUGCUGAUAUUUUAAACCAAUCACCAGAUGCCAUUCCUUUGAUGAUGAUGAUUAAUUUGUCCAGGGGCAGGUAUGAGACCCAACUUGAACUGGUCAGACAGAAGGGAAGGACAUAAUUCCAAAUGGACACCUGUUCUCUCUCCUACCAGUGAGGAAAAGGAAACGAGAUGUCCAGCUGUUGGCCCCAGUCAUAAG
rnacentral:lncRNA from 1 species